UCCCGUGUGGCUCAGUUGGUAAAGAACCUGCCUGCAAUGCGGGAGACCUGGGUUCAAUCCCUGGGUUGGGAA
rnacentral:tRNA from 1 species